ensembl:snoRNA
GGUCUGUGAUGACUUUUGGCAUGUAUUACCUGACUAUAAUUUUGAAGAUUAUCAUUUUAGCUCUAUAAUUACUCUGAGACCUG